UCUGAAGGGAUUUGGGAAAGGAAAAUAGUUCAAACUUGGACAGUAGAAGAAGAGCACCAGAGUGUAAGUUGUGCUGUUAACUACCCUGCGGGUCAGAGUGCCGAAAGGUCGAUUCCACUGAAUGCUGAAUGCUCCAUUUCGCCAUUGAAUAUAAGCUCUACAUCAGAUGAAUUUCUUGAAGGGUAUGAUAGCAAAGUAACAUGCACUGCCUUAUACACAUGUCACAAGAAUACACCAACUCUCACAUGGAACUAUGGCAGUGUGGCAGCAUCCACUAAUACAGAAAAGGUACCAGGGGAGACUCAGUGGAAGACUAUCUCCAUACUGUCAUUUAAAUCUUCACCCAGCGACAACGGGAGAUCUGUUACCUGCUUUGCAAAAUUCAAGGGGGGGCAAACACAAGAAGUGAGCAUCAGGCUGCGGGUAAAGAGAAACAUACUCAAUCGUGGUUGGUCUUUCACUGCUCCAAGCACCAUAA